GGCUUCAUAGGUCAGUAGGGUAGAGCAUUUGCACCGGAAUUGCAAAGGUCAUGGGUUCGAAUCCCGUUGGAGCCU